AUACUCACCUGGCAGGGAGGAUGCCAUGAUCACAAGGGUGGCUUUCUCAGGACGAAGCUUAUCCAUUGCACUUCGGAUGUGCUGGCCCCUGGGAUUUCCCCAAAUGUGGGAAACUCAACUGCUUAAUUUGUGGUAGGAGACUGUGUUUCCACUCUCCCCUA